UACGUAGGGGGCAAGCGUUGUCCGGAAUCAUUGGGCGUAAAGCGCGUGUAGGCGGCCCGGUAAGUCCGCUGUGAGAGUCGGGGGCUCAACCCUCGAAUGCCGGUGGAUACUGUCGGGCUAGAGUGCGGAAGAGGCGAGUGGAAUUCCUGGUGUAGCGGUGAAAUGCGCAGAUAUCAGGAGGAACACCAAUUGCGAAGGCAGCUCGCUGGGACGUGACUGACGCUGAGACGCGAAAGCGUGGGGAGCAAACAGG
rnacentral:rRNA from 1 species